AGUGAACGCUGGCGGUAGGCCUAACACAUGCAAGUCGAACGGCAGCACAGUAAGAGCUUGCUCUUACGGGUGGCGAGUGGCGGACGGGUGAGGAAUACAUCGGAAUCUACUUUUUCGUGGGGGAUAACGUAGGGAAACUUGCGCUAAUACCGCAUACGACCUACGGGUGAAAGCAGGGGAUCUUCGGACCUUGGGCGAUUGAAUGAGCCGAUGUCGGAUUAGCUAGUUGGCGGGGUAAAGGCCCACCAAGGCGAGGAUCCGUAGCUGGUCUGAGAGGAUGAUCAGCCACAAUGGAACUGAGACACGGUCCAGACUCCUACGGGAGGCAGCAGUGGGGAAUAUUGGACAAUGGGCGCAAGCCUGAUCCAGCCAUACCGCGUGGGUGAAGAAGGCCUUCGGGUUGUAAAGCCCUUUUGUUGGGAAAGAAAAGCAGCAGGUUAAUACCCCGCUGUUCUGACGGUACCCAAAGAAUAAGCACCGGCUAACUUCGUG
rnacentral:rRNA from 1 species